UUUUCUCUUUUCAUCUCUCACGCACGCCUCUUCUUCUUCCUUUCAUCAUCUUCGUCGCCGCAACCCCGCUCUCUCCAUCCACCGUCGGCGUUCUCCCCGUCUGUUCCACACCUCCUCUCACAACUCAUCGUCAGACUCGCCGUCACACCAUUCACCGUCCAUUGUCGCUUCGUCCUUCCAAAACGUCGUCGCUAUUGUUUGUGGCAAGGUGUUGUUGUCUUUGAAAAUUCAAUGGAAAUCUUCAAAUCAUUAAGAAAUAGAAUUCUUAACAACAAACCCAACUGGUUCGGCUAACAGGGAAAAUGUAAUGGCAUCAAUUAACACAAAAUUUAGCAAAAUCUCUUUCUUUGAUUUUAAAAGAAAUAUGACCUGAUUUAGUUAGCAUAUUAUAAGAUCUGAAUUCAGUGUGUGCAGUCAUGAAAAUCCGAACUUGAUGUGGAGAAGAAGGGGAUAGCGCCGCCAAAGUAUGGACGGAAAAGAGUUGCGGUAGCGGCGACGAUGGAGGAAGAGGAAGAGUGUGUACUGUAUUUUUUUAUUCUUUUUUUCCCAGAAGAGUGUGUACUGUGUUGUUGCUGUGCAUCAGGAAGAAAAAUGUUUUUCAUAAAUCGUUUAAUCCUAACCCUUAAUUUUAGUUUUUCCACAUGUCACACAUUCAUAAUAGUAAAUGGGGUAAUUGGAGCAAACUUAAAUGGAGCAAAGAUGGAUGGACUCGUUCAAAUAACACUUCUCUUUUGAAAACUAGUAUCGUUAAGGGAAUGAUGGG
rnacentral:lncRNA from 1 species